rnacentral:rRNA from 1 species
CGAGAAAGCCCGCAAGGGUGAGUAAAGCGGCGCACGGGUGCGUAACACGUGGGUAAUCUGCCCAGGAGUUCGGGAUAACUCGCCGAAAGGCGUGCUAAUACCGGAUAAGACCACGGGAGCUUCGGCUCCUGCGGGAAAAGGUGGCCUCUGUAUACAAGCUAUCACUCCUGGAUGAGCCCGCGGCCCAUCAGCUCGUUGGCGGGGUAACGGCCCACCAAGGCUACGACGGGUAGCUGGUCUGAGAGGACGAUCAGCCACACUGGAACUGAGACACGGUCCAGACUCCUACGGGAGGCAGCAGUGGGAAUCUUGCGCAAUGGGCGAAAGCCUGACGCAGCAACGCCGCGUGUGUGAUGAAGGUCUUCGGAU